UACGUAGGGUGCGAGCGUUAAUCGGAAUUACUGGGCGUAAAGCGUGCGCAGGCGGUUUAGUAAGACAGGCGUGAAAUCCCCGGGCUCAACCUGGGAACUGCGCUUGUGACUGCUAAGCUAGAGUACGGCAGAGGGGGGUGGAAUUCCACGUGUAGCAGUGAAAUGCGUAGAGAUGUGGAGGAACACCAAUGGCGAAGGCAGCCCCCUGGGUCGAUACUGACGCUCAUGCACGAAAGCGUGGGUAGCAAACAGG
rnacentral:rRNA from 2 species